GCCUGGUUAGCUCAAUCGGUAGAGCAUUUGACUCUUAAUCAAAAGGUUGCGGGUUCGAUCCCCGCAUUGGGCU
rfam:Candida tenuis ATCC 10573 unplaced genomic scaffold CANTEscaffold_00022, whole genome shotgun sequence.